UACGUAGGGACCAAGCGUUGUUCGGAUUUACUGGGCGUAAAGGGCGCGUAGGCGGCAAUUCAAGUCAUCUGUGAAAUCUCCGGGCUUAACUCGGAACGGUCAGAUGAUACUGCUUUGCUAGAGUGCGGAAGGGGCAAUCGGAAUUCUUGGUGUAGCGGUGAAAUGCGUAGAUAUCGAGAGGAACACCUGCGGCGAAGGCGGGUUGCUGGGCCGACACUGACGCUGAAGCGCGAAAGCUAGGGGAGCAAACGGG
rnacentral:rRNA from 1 species